UUUGAUUUUAAAAUUCAAUACAAGAAGGUAAAAGAUAAUGUGGCUGACGAUUCUUUAACAAGAAUUUCAGGUGUUGAACUAGUGACCUUAAUGGUCUUCUCAGUGCAAGCUAAUCUUUGGACGGACAUCUCGAAUAGUUGGACUAACGACCCUGAGCUACAUACUCUCAUCAAAUCCCUAUAGGAGAAGCCACAGAAGCACUUUACCUAGAUAAAUAAUCAACUUCGAAGGAAAGAUAAAUUGGUCAUAGGAAAUGAUGUGAGCUUAAGAACUAAGAAAUUGCAGCUGUAGCAUUCCUCUCCCUAUGGUGGUCACUCUGGCAUUGAUGCCACCACUAGGAAGUUAUUGGCUUAUCUCUAUUGGAAAGGUAUCCGGACUGAUGUACUUGCCUAUGUACGCAAUUGUUCUGUGUGCCAAAGGAGUAAAUAUGAUACUACUGCUGUGCUGGGUUGUUGCAACCUUUGCCUCUACCUACAGUCCCAUGGACGGAUAUAAAUAGGGAUUUUACUGAAGGCUUGCCAAAAUCUUAGGGAAGAUUCGUGAUUUGAGUUGUGGUUGAUAGGUUGACCAAAUAUGGCCACUUCAUUGCUCCCGCUCACCCUUACACCACCCAAUCCCUGAUCCCUAUAUCCCUCGAUCUCAUCUUCAAGUCACAUCGAUUCUCUGCUAUUAUAGCCAGUGAUCAUGACCCCAUCUUUAUUAGUGAUUUUUGAAGGAGUUUCUGUCUGCUAUGGGUGUCACUUUACGCACAUCCACAGCUUAUCAUAUUCAGACUGAUGGUCAAACAGAGGUCCUUAAUAGAUCCUUGGAGUCCCACUUGUGCUGCUUUUGUUAUGAUUCUCCAGCUGAUUGAUGUUCCUUCCUGUCUUUAGCUGAAUGGUGGUAUAACUCCUUCCCUCAGUCCACAAUUCAAACCUUAUCCUUUGAAUUGCUUUAUGGUUACCCUCCUCCUCUUCAUCUCCCUUAUAUUCCUGGUGAUUCUUCUUUUGAUUCGAUUGAGAACAUUAUGCUGCUUCGAGAAUUUUAAAUGCAAUUGGCUAAAUAUCAUUUAGCUCAGGAUCAGGCAAAUGCUCAUCGCACUUACAAAUAUUUUACAGUAGGUGAUUGGUUCUUUGUGAAGCUACAAUCAUAUAAGCAGUCCACCCUAUCUGUCUCCCCUAUCAUAAGCUCACUUCCCGUUAUUUUGGUCCUUACCCCAUUGUCGGAAAAGAUAGGUGCAAUUGCUUAUAAGUUGAUGCUUCCUCCUGAAGUCCAAAUUUAUCCUACUUUCCAUAUUUCUCAACCUAAAUUGCGUCAUAUCAUUCCUUUUGAAAUAAUACAUCCACCUAUCUUGGAUCCCUCCGGUCCUUUAUGCCCUGCUCAUGAGGCUGUUAUUGGUCACAAAUUGGUCAAGAAAGGCAACAAAGCAGUAGCACAAUGUUUGAUUAAAUGGAAGGGUUUGGAUGUUGCUUAUGCCACUUGGGAGUUCGCUUCACUCGUGAAAACCAGAUUUCUUCCAUUUACCCUUAGGACAAGGGUGUUGUUCAUCGAGGGAGGGUCGGUAUUGAUACACAUAAUUCAGAGAUCUCAGACGUGGACGCCACUUCAACUACUGAGUAGGAUAAUCUGAAUAUCUGUUACUUUUUACAGUUAGAAUGUAAUUUCAACAUAUUUUGCAUUUUAGUAGAUAGUUUAGGAGUAUAAGUAGCAAGUUGCAAACUCUUAUUACAUACUUUUGACAUGCUAAAAAGUUUAUGGUCUUCUCUCUAACUCCUUCUAGUCUCUCUUCUUCCUACUCCUUCUCAUUUUUCUCCUUAUCUACUGCUUCAUUGCUGAAUCGAUACCAAUUUUAGUAUCAUAUACUAAAGGAAAAAGCUACGACAUUGAGAAGCAAUAUGUGUGCCCACAUAGAGAGUUAGAUUGUUACCUGGAAGACAGAAAGAGACGACGCCAACAAAUGUUCUAUGGGGGAGAAGAGCAGGGAAUUCUUUUAUGGUGCUAAAUCAAUUAGGCUAUACGAAGAACCCUAAAUCUAAAUCGUUUCACUUAAAUUACUUUAUUGACCCUUGACCCAUCCGAUCCGCCUCAUUUGAAAAGACCUGGUAAGAAUUUCUAUUAUGAGGACUUUAACAAGGGAAAAUUAUAGUAGAUGGUCCUUC
rnacentral:lncRNA from 1 species